rnacentral:pre_miRNA from 1 species
AAAAGUUAAGUCGUGUGGAGUUGUAGCGUUUGCCUAUGUUUGCCGCUAGGGGCGCUGUUCCAACUGCAUACAAAAUUGGUUUA